rnacentral:rRNA from 1 species
UACGUAGGGGGCUAGCGUUGUCCGGAAUCAUUGGGCGUACAGCGCGUGUAGGUGGUCCGGUAAGUCCGCUGUGAAAGUCGGGGGCUCAACCCUCGAAUGCCGGUGGAUACUGCCAGACUAGAGUACGGAAGAGGCGAGUGGAAUUCCUGGUGUAGCGGUGAAAUGCGCAGAUAUCAGGAGGAACACCCAGUGCGAAAGCAGCUCGCUGGGACGUUACUGACGCUGAGACGCGAAAGCGUGGGGGGCAAACAGG